GACGAACGCUGGCGGCGUGCUUAACACAUGCAAGUCGAACGGAAAGGCCCUGCUUUUGUGGGGUGCUCGAGUGGCGAAAGGGUGAGUAACACGUGAGUAACCUGCCCUUGACUUUGGGAUAACUUCAGGAAACUGGGGCUAAUACCGGAUAGGAGCUCCUGCUGCAUGGUGGGGGUUGGAAAGUUUCGGCGGUUGGGGAUGGACUCGCGGCCUAUCAGCUUGUUGGUGGGGUAGUGGCUUACCAAGGCGUUGACGGGUAGCCGGACUGGGAGGGUGACCGGCCCCAUAGGGCCUGAGAAACGGGCCGGACGCCUACGGGAGGCAGCAGUGGGAGAUAGUGCGCAAUGGGCGGAAGGCGGAAGCAGCAACUCCGCGUGCGGGAUGACGGCCUUUGGGUUGUAACCCGGUUUCGCCUGGGACGAAGCGUGAGUGACGGUAAUGGGUAAGGAAGAAACGGCUAACUACGUG
rnacentral:rRNA from 1 species